rnacentral:rRNA from 1 species
UGGGGGAUAUUGCGCAAUGGGGGGAACCCUGACGCAGCAACGCCGCGUGAAGGAAGAAAUAUUUCGGUAUGUAAACUUCUAUCGACAGGGAAGAAAGAAAUGACGGUACCUGAGUAAGAAGCCCCGGCUAAUUACGUGCCAGCAGCCGCGGUAAUACGUAAGGGGCGAGCGUUAUCCGGAUUUACUGGGUGUAAAGGGUGAGUAGGCGGUUUUGCAAGUCAUAUGUGAAAGACUAAGGCUUAACCUUAGAGGUGCAUAAGAAACUGUAGAACUAGAGUGCAGGAGAGGCAAGCGGAAUUCCAAGUGUAGCGGUGAAAUGCGUAGAUAUUUGGAAGAACACCGGUGGCGAAGGCGGCUUGCUGGACUGAAACUGACGCUGAGUCACGAAAGCGUGGGGAGCGAACAGG